UGUGGCAAGCUAGUACGACCAGCUCCUACUGAAUCCCCCAGGUCUGGAAGGAAGCAAGGGUAAGUGGUUGUAGCGGUGCGAAACUGGUUUGCCAUUUUU
rnacentral:SRP_RNA from 1 species